UUCCGGUUUGACACGCGAGUUACAAGAAGGUGGAGAGGUAUGUUUAUCAGAUGUUCUUGAAGGACGAGACACCUGAAACAGCCUUGACCUGCUCCUCAAGGUGUGCUGCAGUACUGGACGCGGCCGACAGGCUCAAAGUCCUCGUCGCCCUGAGGCCCAGUGGUUGCCACGUCUCGCCGCCGCUCAACUUGUUGUUUCAGAAGAUACAGCACUUCCGCUGCAGCUGUCGUCGUGUCCUCCAUAGAAGGACGUCUGUUGUCUGGCCGGGCAAGGGCAAGCUGUAAUCUGCGAACUCAUCAGCUUUCUGAAAAGCUAAAAGUGGAACGACCGUAAUCUUUCGUGUCUAUUACGAGGAUUAGUAAUAAAGGUGUGCUCGUGUGGAUAUAAAUCUGCAAUGUUUGUAACUUUCGGUUUUGUUAAAAAAGCAAAGAAAAUAUUGUUAAUAAGGCAGAAUUGGGACACUAUUUAGUUGACCGAUUUCCUGUCAAGUCUUGUGCCCAUUAGGGAAAUUUACAUUUUUUUUAUGAGUUAGAUGGCAAUAUCAAUUUAAUAUUGAUCGCUCAAAUUUUUACGUUCCUAAUUACUUGGUUAGUAAUUUAUUAAUCGUUUAAACCAUUAUUAACAUUUUAUCGUUUUUAUGUCCUCUAAAUGAUAAGUGACGGGAAAAAAGUAUAAAAUCUUCAGAAAAGUGGAAUUACAGUUACAGAUACUCGUAUGGUUCUACAUUGGUGUGUGUUUAAAAUGAAACACUUCUUUUCUGCUUAAAUCGUCAUUCCACACAAACACGCAGCCAUUAGCUCUCUAGAAUAUAUCGCAAAGAGAAGAGAUGAAAACAGGAGCGUCUUCACGUAAGUCAUUGGCGCCUUGAGCAGCUUAGUCAUGAGUUUAAGUGUAGAGUUUGUAGGAGGGAAAAGAAAUCAAUAAAUGUAUACUUGAA